CGGUGGGAUUUUAGUGGACAAAAACAACCAAAGAUACAACUUUCGGUGUUAAAAAGAGUACUAAAUGUGUUACAAAAAAAAAAAGAGUACUAAACAAUAAUAAAGUAAUAAGAAGAAAACAUAAAAUCAGAAGUAAUCCCGUGUAAGAGGGUAGGGAAGAUGAGCAAAUGAAUAGGAAAAGCAAGUGGGAUACAAAUUGGUUAUAGCAACAACAUAACAAAUGAUGAAAAAAGAAUUUUGGACCGACUAUAUCCAAAAUUCGGAUUCACCUAAUCUUAAUGGUUAUAAGAAAUUAAUUCUUUGACAUUAUUUGUUUUUUGUUCUAUCGAUUCUCUUAAGUUAGUGUGUGUCACAUUAAUUGGCCGAUGAAUAAAAUAGCAACCCUAAAAAGCCUUCAAUGUCUGAGUCUUACAUACACAGUCAAACAAAGUUCAUAACCUCUGCUAACUCUUUAGAUACACAGUCAAACAAGAUUCUUCCUGAUCAUCAAUGCAACCGUACCCUAAGAUAAUACUAUAUAUCCACAAAUGACAUCCCAUUGAUCAUGUCAACGUUUAUUCCUAUCUAUGUAAACCAAAGUUCACCACAUGUGAGAGUACACAUAACACGUAUUGUAGCCCAAACCCAUUGCUAUUUACAGUACCUUUAAGCUUACGUACCAAGAACAAUGUUGCUCAGCUUUUAUCUGGUUGACUGGAUCAAGGAGAUGAUGGUGAAAUCACAUGAUAGUAUAUAUUAUUGAUCCUAUCUUCCCGGAGUUUCCAACAGUGAAGGAACUCAAACGGAUUUGUUUUUCCUUCAAAGAUUGCUUCAAAAUCAAAAGUCGAAAAAAAAAACCCUCAAAUCAAACCAACAUUUUAAGGAAAACCGGUUUAGUUUCAAUUACCGGAAGAGAAACCAUACCAUUAAACCGGUAAUAUAUAAUUGGCCUAAAGUGGUUCUUCUACGACACUUCACCAAUCACCAUCAAGCUCCUUCUCUCUGUCUCUCUCUCUCUCUCUGUUUAUACAAACAUCUUGGGAGGUAAUCACUGUAUCGGUACUAGGAUCUGAAUUAGAUAUGAAUUGGGUUCAACGCAAAAUCUAUCUUUACAACGUCACAUUUGGGCUUUACAUGCUUGAUUGGUGGGAACGAUACCUCUUCAAUUCUUUGGUUGUAAUCCUGAUGUGGUUUAUUCUGUACAAUGGAUCUCGCUACUUCUUGGAGCUUUGCAAGAGACAUCUUUCUUGAAACCAGGUCAUAGUUAUCAAUGCCAUGGAAGCAUGAAAACGACAUGGUCGUCUGAGACCUGUGCCAACAAAAACACAUUUGUUCUGCUUUUUCUUAACCUGCUUCUUUGGUAUCAUAUCUGAGCAUGCAACUGUCCAUAUAUGUCUUUCUUUAUCACUUGUUUCUCCCUAGUUUUGAAUUUCCUUUGUUCUACUCCACUUCCAGUUCAUAUUUUGAGACAUGAUUAGUUCCAUCUUUUGAUGCUUACAUUUGAUGAACUCAAGUUUUCAGGUGGUUU